GUGCAGCCCUUUGAGGCACUUGAGAUUCAGGGCUAUAAAAAUAAACAUUGAUUGAAGUGUGGGCUUCCCUGCUUGGGCUGCUGUCCCCACGACCCGACCUCAGAUAAGCUAAUAUUAUGGUCACGUGAUUGGAAUGUACCGUUUAGCUGGCGCCAAGCCACCAUGCAAGUUAGUCGCUUUACCUUAAAAAGUUCCUUUCCACCUGAAGUCACACGACUCGGGGACAAGUUUCGACAUGUUCGCUGGCGUUGAUAAGUUAGCUCGGUUAGCUUCCGGUGUUAGCAUGUGUGCUAAACUAGACUGGGGCGCGGUGCUAACCCGGCGACGAGAGUCUAUGUUCGGCAGCGGAGUGAGCGAGGACUCGGGAGACCGGCACGACGACCAUACUUUACCUGAGUAAUAUCUCCAGCGAGCUUUCAUGUUUGUCCAGCGGCCUCCCCAGCGCGUUCCUGCGGAGCUUGUUCAACUCCUCCACGGCGCGGAUGUGCUCCGCCUGCUCGUCGCCCGCCGGGUAGGUGGACGUGACAUAUUUGGCCAGCGGCUUGACCAAGUCUACCUCGGUGGACUUCUUCAGCGGGACAGAAAUGAAGGUCGCCAUUUGCUGGGAGAGGAGAAGGGGGGGAAGAACACAAACAAGAGCGAGAGACUUCACUUCCUGGAUUGUUCCCCCUGUCUGGUGACGUCAUAAAGACGAGGGGGCUCGCACUGCGCAGACUCGAGAGUGUGGAAGCGUCGCCAAAUCCAUGGCCCGCUGGGAGGACGUAAAUGAGACUGCCUAACAAUAAACCACGUCCGCAUGGAGCUGGAGGGGGUGAGGCCUCCAGCUCUGCCUGAAUUUCGGAAGAAAAUUUGUCCCGGGAGGUUUUCGGCAGAGGCGCUGAAUUUUGGGAGUCUGCCGGAAAAUCCGGGAGGGUUGGCAAGUAAGUUUUAAUGUCUUAUUAAAAAAAUGGAUUGCUCUAAAUCAGUGGUUCUCAGCCUUUUUUCAGUGAUG